GUUUUAUAUGUGUGCUAUCUUACUUUAAAGAAAAUAACAAUGUCUUAUUUUCCUCAUUGUUGUCUUUUGCUGAAAAAGACUGAGACAGGGUACCCCUAUCAGGCUUUUACACUCCCGUGGUGGUUCUCUUUAAUUGCUUAGAUAUGACUUCUUUUGAGCUUUAAGAAUAGUUGUUAUUGCUUGGGUUCUGAAUGUAUGAGAAAACUCUUCUGUUUAU
rnacentral:lncRNA from 1 species